AAAAAAUAAAAACUUUAAACAAAAGUAGCAAAUCCGGAUACAAAGUUAAGAAAAAAAUGAAGUGAAAAUUGUAUCAAUCUUCAGCUAAAAAAAUAAUUUUAAUCGUAUCAAUUAGGUGAGCUUUAAUUUUCAAGGAAGGUAAAACGAAAUCUUAAAGCAAAAGCGUUGACUGAAAAAACUGAAAAAAAUUGAACCUUUAGUACAUGGUCAUAGUCGAUCAAAAUUAAGAAGCAGCAAAAAGCUGGAGGAGAUAUUUGG
rnacentral:lncRNA from 1 species